rnacentral:tRNA from 1 species
AGCCUAGCGUAGCGUUGUAGUUCUAGCUCCGAAGGCAGAGGUCACAGGUUCGAAUCCUGUCGGGUGCGCCA